GACGAACGCUGGCGGCGUGCUUAACACAUGCAAGUCGAGCGAUGAAGCACCUUCGGGUGUGAAUUAGCGGCGAACGGGUGAGGAACACGUGAGAAAUCUGCCUUCAACUCUGGGAUAACUCCGGGAAACCGGGGCUAAUACCGGAUAUGAGCCUUGAUCGCAUGAUCGGGGCUGGAAAGUUUUUCGGUUGAAGAUGAUCUCGCGGCCUAUCAGCUUGUUGGUGAGGUAAUGGCUCACCAAGGCGACGACGGGUAGCCGGCCUGAGAGGGCGACCGGCCACACUGGGACUGAGACACGGCCCAGACUCCUACGGGAGGCAGCAGUGGGGAAUAUUGGGCAAUGGAGGAAACUCUGACCCAGCGACGCCGCGUGAGGGAUGAAGGCCUUCGGGUUGUAAACCUCUUUCAGUAGGAAGAAGCGAAGUGACGGUACCGUACAGAAGAAGACACCGGCGUAACUAUGUG
rnacentral:rRNA from 1 species